rnacentral:lncRNA from 1 species
UCUAUUAAUUAUUUUAGGUAAAUAGGAAUAAUCUCAUUUGGGAAUUAUUAUAAGAGAAAUUCCUUCACUUUAGGCACAGACUUGAUCAUAGGACUCUCCUUAACAUUUCUAACAGAAACUGAAGAAGAACUUGUAGUAAACCAAUAUAAUAACUAAGCCUUGUGGAAGGCCUUCAAAUACUUUCUUAUAUGUAUCUAGAUAAUUGCAUCUAGAU